AGAGUUUGAUCAUGGCUCAGAGCGAACGCUGGCGGCAGGCCUAAUACAUGCAAGUCGAGCGCCCCUUCGGGGGAGCGGCGGACGGGUGAGUAACGCGUGGGAACGUGCCCUUUGGUUCGGAACAACACAGGGAAACUUGUGCUAAUACCGAAUGUGCCCUUCGGGGGAAAGAUUUAUCGCCAUUGGAGCGGCCCGCGUUGGAUUAGGUAGUUGGUGGGGUCAAGGCCUACCAAGCCUACGAUCCAUAGCUGGUCUGAGAGGAUGAUCAGCCACACUGGGACUGAGACACGGCCCAGACUCCUACGGGAGGCAGCAGUAGGGAAUCUUGCGCAAUGGGCGAAAGCCUGACGCAGCCAUGCCGCGUGUAUGAUGAAGGUCUUAGGAUUGUAAAAUACUUUCACCGGGGAAGAUAAUGACGGUACCCGGAGAAGAAGCCCCGGCUAACUUCGUGCCAGCAGCCGCGGUAAUACGAAGGGGGCUAGCGUUGCUCGGAAUUACUGGGCGUAAAGGGCGCGUAGGCGGAUAUUUAAGUCGGGGGUGAAAGCCCAGGGCUCAACCCUGGAAUUGCCUUCGAUACUGGAUAUCUUGAGUUCGGGAGAGGUGAGUGGAAUGCCGAGUGUAGAGGUGAAAUUCGUAGAUAUUCGGCGGAACACCAGUGGCGAAGGCGACUCACUGGCCCGAUACUGACGCUGAGGCGCGAAAGCGUGGGGAGCAAACAGGAUUAGAUACCCUAGUAGUCC
rnacentral:rRNA from 1 species